rnacentral:rRNA from 1 species
AUUAAUAAGCGGAGGAAAAGAAACUAACUAGGAUUCCCUCAGUAACGGCGAGUGAAGCGGGAAGAGCCCAGCACCGAAUCGCGCGUUCUUGCGACGCUGCGAACUGUGGUGUUUAGGACUAGCGCAUGCACGUCGGUCCGGCGUCCGAGUCCUCCUGAUCGGGGCUUUGCCAGAGCGGGUGUCAGCCCUCUACGGCGCCGGAUCGUCUUGCCCGCCACGUCCUCGGAGUCGGGUUGUUUGAUAAUGCAGCCCAAAGCGGGUGGUAAACUCCAUCUAAGGCUAAAUACGGACACGAGUCCGAUAGCGAACAAGUACCGUGAGGGAAAGUU